GUCUCAGUUCGGACUGUAGUCUGCAACCCGACUACACGAAGCUGGAAUCGCUAGUAAUCGCGGAUCAGAAUGCCGCGGUGAAUACGUUCCCGGGUCUUGUACACACCGCCCGUCACACCAUGGGAGUCGGUAACGCCCGAAGCCAGUGACCCAACCUUAGGGAGGGAGCUGUCGAAGGCGGGACGGAUAACUGGGGUGAAGUCGUAACAAGGUACC
rnacentral:rRNA from 1 species